UUUUGGGAGAGAGGUUCUAACCAUGUUGUCCUGCCUGGCCUGGACCUUACAUAUAAGAGAAGGAUAAAGAAAGAGGCGUGGAAGAUUUCAUACAAAGGCAACAUGGUGGGUGUGGAAGAGGCACUGACCUUCAGGAGCCAUCUGAAUGGCGACCUGGAUCCAGAUGACAGGGAAGAGGGGAUCUCCAGCAGGGCUGAGGAAGCUGCCAAGAAGAAAAGACAGAGAAGAGGAAGGGCAAAGAGGCUCUGUCAGCAGUGCAACAAGAACUUGAUAAAGAAUCAGGAACCUUGGUGAAUGAAGAAGCAAAACAGUUGGAGAGACCAGCACGGGAGGGGAAAGAGAGAGAUGAUGAAGAUGGAGAUGGUGAUGUUGAUGGCACAACUGGGAAGAAGAAGAAAAAAGAAGAGGAAGAAGAGAGGACCAAAAGUUCAAAUAGACCCUCCCUCAGUUCCAAUACGUGACCUGUAUCCUAAUGGUGUAUUUCUCAAAGAACAAGAAUGUGAAUACCCACCCACACAAGAUGGCGAACAGCUGCUUGGAGAACCACACGUGAAGAAAAAGGGCCCUAGACCAGGCUAGGAGAUUUGGAACAACCUCCAAGAAGCUACAGAAGCACAUCAGCAAGUUAGGAGAUACAUCAUGAGCUGGAUCAAGCCUGCAAUGGCGAUGAUGGAAAUCUGUAAAAAGUUAGAUGACCGUUCCUGAAAGCUAAUAAAGGAAAAUGGGUUAAAUGC
rnacentral:lncRNA from 1 species